rnacentral:rRNA from 1 species
AUAACGACUCUUGGCAACGGAUAUCUCGGCUCUCGCAUCGAUGAAGAACGCAGCGAAAUGCGAUACCUGGUGUGAAUUGCAGAAUCCCGUGAAUCAUCGAGUCUUUGAACGCAAGUUGCGCCCGAGGCCAUUUGGUCUAGGGCACGCCUGCCUGGGUGUCACA